ACGCUGGCGGCGUGGAUUAGGCAUGCAAGUCGAACGGUAGAGUUCCUUCGGGGGACUGAGAGUGGCGAACGGGUGAGUAACGCGUAGGUGAUCUACCUUCGAGGUGGGGGACAACCCGGGGAAACCCGGGCUAAUACCGCAUGUGGCAGCGAUGCUAAAGCCGGCCUCUGAAUAUGCUGGUGCCUGGAGAUGAGCCUGCGUCUGAUUAGCUAGACGGUGGGGUAACGGCCUACCGUGGCGAUGAUAGGUAGGCGGCUUUAACGAGUGGCCGCCCACACUGGGAUUGAGAAACGGCCCAGACUCCUACGGGAGGCAGCAGUCGAGGAUAGUCUACAAUGGCCGAAAGGCUGAUAGUGCGACGCCGCGUGAACGAAGAAGCCAUUUCGGUGUGUAAAGUUCUUUUCCAUUUGAGCAGGGGCCUGGUGGUUAACAGCGACCGGGUCUUGAUAUUAGGAUGGGAAUAAGCCACGGCUAACUCCGUGCCAGCAGCUGC
rnacentral:rRNA from 1 species